ensembl:lncRNA
GGGCGGCUGGCGAGCGGCAGUCGCUGCCCUAGGCGGGUUUCCCCUCAGAACGAGUGAGUGACAGAAACGGAUGCCCGGCGCUUCCAGCUAAGAAUCACUCCGCCCAGCUUCCACUUCCCACCACUGGCUCCGCUCGCCGGCAGCUGCCUCGGCCCCGCACCCGCAGCCUGGCUGGCCCUCCCCAUACCCAGAGCUGCACAGCCGCCAGCUUCCCAGAAAGCCAGAAACCGAGGGCCCCCUUCGCCGUGACUGGACGUGCUUGGCUUCUGGAAUUUUCCUACAAGCUCUGAUGUGUCCAGCUUGCACCCGCGCUUCCCCAGUGGCUGCUGACUCUCGCGUCCCUCCCUCCUGCUUCCAGACUUUCGCUUCCCCAGCUCUUCCCAAGCCCUACAAGGCUGAUUCCUAGAAUGCUUACCCUGGCCCUACUCGCUUAUCCAAAUCCUGAGCCACCCAAGGCCUACAGAUUUCGCUUCAUUUUAAAUGAAAACUAGCGCAAGAAGACACUCGUUCUGGAUUGGAGAGAAUAGCUGUGGAAUAACAGGACUGGAGGAGGACAGCAACAGGCUGUAAUGAAAGGCCUGCAGCGACACAGUACAUCAUGACUAAAGUACGUGGCAGAGGAGGCCUGUUCACAUCACUACAGCCAGGAAGCAAAAAGAAGCCAGUGCUGUCAUACAAGCAAAGGAAAAAUCUUUAACCUGGAAAUUUUGCUAACAUGUUCACCAAAGGAACACCCGUGCAGAUAACAUGAAAC